rnacentral:rRNA from 1 species
GAACAUGAGAGUUCGAUCCUGGCUCAGGAUAAACGCUGGCGGCGUGCUUAACACAUGCAAGUCGAACGGAGCUUUUCUUUCGGGGAAAGCUUAGUGGCGGACGGGUGAGUAACGCGUGGGUAACCUGCCCUGUACAGGGGGACAACAGCUGGAAACGGCUGCUAAU